rnacentral:rRNA from 1 species
CAAAAACAUAGCCCCUAGACCCUUAUUAGAGGUGACGCCUGCCCGAUGGUUUAUCCUAAGUUAAUUACCAUUAACGAACCUGAACUCAAUGGCCGCGGUAUUUCUGACCGUGAUAAUGUAGCGAAAUCAAUCGUCACUUAAUUGCUGACCUGUAUCAAAGGUAUUACGAAUGUUCCCCUGUCUCAAGAAAAAUCCCUGUGAAAUUGAAGGGGCCGUGCAUAUGCGGCCUAUUUUCCUGUAAGACGAAAAGACCCUAUUGAGCUUUACUAUAACCUUUCCUCAAAACACUAAGAAAAUGAGUAGACCUCUAAUCUUAGUACUAGGAAAGGCUGGUAGUUUCGUUGGGGCGACGACCUUUCAAAAAGUAACAAAGGUUAGCGAUGGUUUUCUAUUUAAUGAAUCUUAGCCUGACUGUUUGGCUUAUAAGCCUACCAGACACUUUCGUGAGCCAUAAUUUUCCAUUUUAGGGGCAACCCUAAAAUGCCAUAAUAUAAAAGUUACCAUAGGGAUAACAGCGUAAUUUUGUCGAAGAGCUCUUAUCGAUGACAAAGAUUGCGACCUCGAU